rnacentral:rRNA from 1 species
UACAGAGGUCCCAAGCGUUGUUCGGAUUCACUGGGCGUAAAGGGUGCGUAGGUGGUCGGGUAAGUCCGAUGUGAAAUCUCCAGGCUCAACCUGGAAAUGGCAUUGGAUACUAUUCGGCUUGAGGAGUGGAGGGGGGACUGGAAUUCUCGGUGUAGCAGUGAAAUGCGUAGAUAUGCGGAGGAACACCGAUGGCGAAGGCAAUCCCCUGGGCCUGCACUGACGCUCAUGCACGAAAGCGUGGGGAGCAAACAGG